AUGAACGCUGGCGGCGUGCCUAAUACAUGCAAGUCGAGCGAACAGACGAGGAGCUUGCUCCUCUGACGUUAGCGGCGGACGGGUGAGUAACACGUGGAUAACCUACCUAUAAGACUGGGAUAACUUCGGGAAACCGGAGCUAAUACCGGAUAAUAUAUUGAACCGCAUGGUUCAAUAGUGAAAGACGGUUUUGCUGUCACUUAUAGAUGGAUCCGCGCCGCAUUAGCUAGUUGGUAAGGUAACGGCUUACCAAGGCAACGAUGCGUAGCCGACCUGAGAGGGUGAUCGGCCACACUGGAACUGAGACACGGUCCAGACUCCUACGGGAGGCAGCAGUAGGGAAUCUUCCGCAAUGGGCGAAAGCCUGACGGAGCAACGCCGCGUGAGUGAUGAAGGUCUUCGGAUCGUAAAACUCUGUUAUUAGGGAAGAACAAAUGUGUAAGUAGCUAUGCACGUCUUGACGGUACCUAAUCAGAAAGCCACGGCUAACUACGUG
rnacentral:rRNA from 1 species